rnacentral:rRNA from 1 species
CUGGCGGCGCGAUACACACAUGCAAGGAGCAAGAGAAAGAGGGAGCAAUCCCUUGAGUACAGUGGCUUUUCGCCGAGUAACACGUGGAUCAUCUACCUCUUGGUGGGGAAUACCCCCGGGAAACUGGGGACAAUACCGCAUAAGCCUGCAAAGGGAAAGCAGCAAUGCGCCGAGAGAGGAGUCCGCGGCUGAUUAGCUAGUUGGUGGGGUAAUGGCUCACCAAGGCGAAGAUCGGUAGCCGGCCUGAGAGGGCACACGGCCACACUGGCACUGAAACACGGGCCAGACUCCUACGGGAGGCAGCAGUGGG